AUGCGGCAGCAGCUGCUUGUGGCUGAUGUCCGCCAGCCCAGACGACGGCAACGCGCCUGGGUCGAAUUGGUCGGAGGUCUCCUCCCCUUCCUGAGCUGGCAGGAAUGGCCGGAAUCAAGAUCGGACUAUGGUGGCGGUGGCAAGGAAGGAAGUGACAGCACCGCCCUGGCCCACCUUCGACCAACCCAACCCACCCACCACCAUUCCCAUUCCUCAAAAAAAAAUUCCUCCAAAAAAAAACCCACCACCAUUCCCUCCUCCCUGCUCUGUCCCGACCACGGUGGCGACGGCGAGGAGACGCCCAACGGCGCCUCGUCUUCCAGUCCUGCUGUUCUGCUCCCCGCUGUCGGCAUGGUCGCCCGCCUGCCCUCUCCUCCAUCCGCUGGGACUGGAACUGGAAGCAAGCGCCACCAACAAGGAGGUCAGCUCUCACCGCUCUGCCCGCGCCCUGCAGAUCAGGUGGGAGCAAUGUGUAGAUGGACAUACACAUCUUUGGCUCAAGCAUAUCGCUGGCCCGCCUGGCCUGAGCUUGAUCACUUCUUCAGGGGCACCACAACUGAGGCUCCUUCAGUUCAGUGGCACUAUUCAGUUGAUGAUUUGUACCUGCUGAUCACCAAUACAAAUUGGGAGACAUCAUAUAGCAUAGCAAGUAAAGAUCCGUUUGAGGACGAAACACUCACUAACUCGCCCUCUCUCUGCCGCUUGCUCUCUUCUCCCUGCCUUCGCCCCCUGCUGCUUUGCUUCAUCUCCUCCCCCUUGCCUGCAUCUCCGUCGCCGAGAGACUCUCGGCGACGGCAGCACCUGGAUCUGGACCGCCGCACAUCACAAGGUAUCAAGGUUGCAUCUUAUGAUUGUCUUAGUUUACGUCUCCCUAGUGUUGGAUCAAUGGAGAUUCAGCCAACCACCUGUCACUUGUCUAUAAGCACAGAUGACUUAGGGAAAUAUGAUGAAGUGUCUGGUGAAAAAUUAAAGAGUGAAUUGGAAGAACUGAAGACAAGAUUUAAGGUUGAACAUUUACAUACAUUGAUGUUAUUUGGAAAAUUGGAUGAAGGUUUUGUCAAGAUAUUUGGUGAUUUUUUUGGGAAAGUGAAUGUUCUUCAUGUUCUUCGUUUGCCCAGCAUGCUUUGUUCAGUGGAGUCAAUGUUACAUAACUUUUCAGGACUAGUCCACCUACGAUACCUAUGUUUAGGGACAGAUGAGAGUCAGAUGCAUUUACCACUUAGCAUCUCAAAAUUUUAUCAUUUAAGAAUUUUAGAUCUUCGAUUGUGGGGUGGCAGUCAUGAUUUGCCCGAAAACAUGAGCAACCUUGCCAAAUUAUGCCAUUUUUAUGUCCCAUAUAAUGGGCUUCAUUCUGAUAUUUAUUGUGUGGGAAAACUUAAACUCUUAGAAGAGUUAAAGGUAUUUGAAGUUAACAAAAAAAGCGAAGGGUUUGAACCACAGCAACUAGAGCACUUGACAAAGCUAAGGGAGCUUGGCAUCUACAACCUUGAGAAGAUAGAUACUGUAGAAGAAGCAGGUCAAGCAAAACUGAUGGAGAAAAAAUAUUUGAGGAAGUUAACAUUGGAAUGGGAUAGUGGGCGGACAAGUGUUGAGCCUGGUGUGGAAGCAGUGGUUCUUGAGAGACUUCAACCACAUGGAGAUAUUCAAGUGUUGUGCAUUAGAGGGCACGGAGGCCCUUCUUGUCCAACAUGGCUGGGUGAUGACUUCACUGUUGAGGCUCUACAAUUUCUUUAUCUUGAUGGUGUUUCUUGGGAUGUUUUCCCUUCUUUAGGGAAGGCGUGGGAUCUUCGUGAACUGAGGUUGGAGGACAUUACUGGACCGAAGGAGUUUAUUAUAGAGGAGAGCUUUUGCAUGCUAAUAAAGCUUGAACUCAUUAGCCUAGGAAGUUUUCGAAAAUGGCUUUACCCAGCCAAAGAAGGCUCUUCCCUGGGUGGAGACUUGUUGCCACUGGAUACUCAUAUGUUCCCUCUUUUGCAAGUGCUGAUUAUUAGAGAUUGCUCAAAACUCUUGGGGUUUCCUUUCUCAAACCACAUUGUUUCCCCAGAUUGGUUUCCGAAACUACAAGAGCUUGAGGUACUAUACUGUCCAGAAUUCUCGUCAGUGAUUCCCAUCUCCUGGAUUGAAAGUUUGUGUUCUGUCACGAUGAAAUCUGUAAAGCAACUAGAGAAGUUUGCAUACUCAAAAUCAUCUGAUGGAGCAGAAUUGGAAAUUAUUGGAAAGGGUGAUCUGCGUAGCUUAGACCAAGUGUUAGUUUUUGAUAAAGACACAGGUCUUGGGGAACUGACACUGGAGAUGUGCCCACCUCUGGAGUUGAAGCACCUUCUGAUGCUAACGUCACUGAAGAAAUUGAUUGUAAAAAGCUCAGAUGAUCUGGUUGGACUACUAGGAGGCCAGGGUGAUGUGGAAAGGCAGCUCCCACUUUGGUUUCCCAAACUACAAAAGCUUGAGAUAUGGGACUGUCCAGAAUUCUCGUCAGUGAUUCCCAUCUCUUGGAUUGAACGUCUACGCUGUGUCACGAUACGAUGUGCAAAGAUGCUAAAGGAGUUUACGUACUCAAAAUCAUCCAAUGGAGCAGAAGUGGAAAUUAUUGGAGAGAGUGAUUUGCAUAGCAUAGACCAAGUGUUAAUUUUUGAUAAAGAAACAUGUCUUGAGAAGCUCACACUCAACAGGUGCCCACGUCUGGAGUUGAAGCACCUUCUGAUGCUAACCUCCUUGAAGACAUUGUUUGUAUUUCAUUCAGAUGCUCUGGUUGGGCCACUAGGAGGUCAGGGUGAUGUGGAAUGGCAGCUCCCUAUUGAGCAUAUGCGGAUCUGGGACUUAAAUGGUAAUAGUGGGGAGGAAUUGACAGAUCUCCUCCCCCACCUCCCAAAGCUCUCCAAAUUGGAAAUAGAUGAGUCUGGAACUUUAUGGGUGGGACUACAAAGGGAUGAAGCGCUUCAGCAGGGAGCAAGAGAACGCCCUUCUGCUCCUCCUCCCUGCAGGGCUGCGCAACUUUACCGGCCUCAAGGAAUUAUCAAUCAACCACUGUCCAAGCAUCUCGUCAUUACCCAACGAUGGCCUCCCCAAAUUACUGCAAGAGCUAAAUGUCAGAUGGUGCUCCAACCAGGAGCUAAAACAGCAGUGGAGGGGGUUAAUGGGAACCAUCCCCAAAGUCAUGAUAGACUUCUGAUCCAAGUACCAGGUGUUCUUGCAUUUCUAGUUUCUGUUGGCUUGCUGUUCAGUGUUAGGGACCAAUGGAUCAUCUGGCAUAAUUUUGGAAAACAACGGAUUGUCAGUGUUUUGCUGCUGAUCAUGUUUGAAGUUUUGCCAUCCAGGAUCUUCAGAAGAAUAUCAGUGCAUAUGAAUCUCCUCGGAAGAAAAAGAUUGAGUUCGGGGAAAGUGUGCCAAAUCCAUCUUAAGCGCAUGCUGGUCGCUGUGGAGUUGCUGCAGCCAUUGCCAAUAGCAUCCCCCAAAGCGCAUUGUCAAGCUGUUGUUGCAUAUGAUAUUUUCGAAGGUAUCCCCGUGUUUGCUGCUGCAUUGUGCAAGAAAAGGAUCAAGGCCAUAAUGGCAAACAAGAAAGAUUACCAUUUCCUUAAUGUGCAGAUGACAGCCUUUCAUCACGAAAAACUGACACUGCAAAGGUGUGAGUAA
rnacentral:rRNA from 1 species